AAAGGAGAAAAUAAAAAAAAAGGGUUGCACGAUGGUUGAGAAAUAACGAAGGCAUCUGUGAGCGAAGAGAAACAGAACAAAGGCGUUCAGAUUGGAAGGGUUCGGAGGCAAUAAGGAAAGGAAAGACAUUGGAGAAAUAGUUGCUUGACUUCGAUUCUUCGGUGGAGUAAGUGUACCAUCGACUUCAACUCGCCCUCAGCUCUAGUCAGUCUCCAGCA